rnacentral:rRNA from 1 species
GACGACGCUGGCGGCGUGGAUUAGGCAUGCAAGUCGAACGGUAUCAUCCUUCGGGGGUGAGAGAGUGGCGAACUGGUGAGUAACACGUAGGUUAUCUACCCUCAAGACGGGGACAACCCAGGGAAACUUGGGCUAAUACCGGAUGUGAGCAACUUUUAGUUGUUUGAAAGGUGGCGUAAGCUGUCGCUUGGGGAUGAGCCUGCGUCCUAUUAGUUAGUUGGUGAGGUAACGGCUCACCUAGGCAAUGAUAGGUAGGCGGCCUUAACGGGUGGUCGCCCACACUGGGAUUGAGAUACGGCCCAGACUCCUACGGGAGGCAGCAGCCGAGAAUAGUCUACAAUGGUCGGAAGACUGAUAGUGCGACGCCGCGUGAACGAUGAAUCCCUUCGGGGUGUAAAGUUCUUUUAUAUGUGAGCAGUGCUUCUUAUAUUAACAGUAUGGGGAGAGAGAUAUUAGCAUAUGAAUAAGCAACGGCUAACUCCGUG